rnacentral:misc_RNA from 1 species
GAGUAUGAACCCCCAAAUCUAAAGCCCUAAAAACCAAAAACGAGAUAUAACUAAUCGAAUUACUUUACUCAACCCUACUGGGUUUUGUCUGAUCAAUCAUCGGUGUCUUCUUCACUGAGUUGCAAUGGGAGCGAGUCGAAAGUUACAAGGUGAAAUAGAUCGAGUUCUGAAGAAAGUUCAGGAAGGCGUUGAUGUCUUCGAUAGCAUAUGGAACAAGGUUUAUGAUACGGAUAAUGCUAACCAGAAGGAAAAAUUUGAAGCGGAUUUGAAAAAGGAGAUUAAAAAGCUUCAGAGGUAUAGAGACCAAAUCAAAACAUGGAUUCAAUCCAGUGAAAUCAAAGAUAAAAAGGUAAGUGCAUCAUAUGAGCAAGCAUUGAUGGAUGCUCGUAAGCUUAUUGAGCGUGAAAUGGAACGAUUCAAAAUAUGUGAGAAAGAAACUAAGACCAAAGCAUUUUCAAAAGAAGGCUUGGGCCAACAGCCAAAGACGGACCCAAAGGAGAAGGCUAAGUCAGAGACAAGAGAUUGGUUGAAUAAUGUGGUUGGGGAGCUUGAAAGUCAAAUUGACAAUUUCGAGGCUGAACUGGAAGGACUCUCAGUUAAAAAAGGGAAGCAGAGGCCCCCAAGAUUGGUACAUUUGGAAACAUCUAUUGCUCGGCACAAGGCUCAUAUAAUGAAG